UACGUAGGGGGCAAGCGUUGUCCGGAAUCAUUGGGCGUAAAGCGCGUGUAGGCGGUUCAGUAAGUCUGCUGUGAAAGUCCAGGGCUCAACCCUGGGAUGCCGGUGGAUACUGCUGGGCUAGAGUACGGAAGAGGCGAGUGGAAUUCCCGGUGUAGCGGUGAAAUGCGCAGAUAUCGGGAGGAACACCAAUUGCGAAGGCAGCUCGCGUGGGACGUUACGUGACGCUGAGACGCGAAAGCGUGGGGAGCAAACAGG
rnacentral:rRNA from 1 species